rnacentral:lncRNA from 10 species
CCGCUGCCAACCCGGAAGGAGCCCGGAGGGGCCCGGGCGGCCAGGGCGCCCCCGCCAGGAGGCCCGCCAGGUGUCCACCUGAGCCCCACGCCCUGCGCCGCGGGGCCCUUUUGGGGGCGGGGUGCCAGCUCCGAGGUGUCCUCCCACGGGCUGUAGACUGGGAAACUGAGGCCCGGGCCACGGUCCCAGACGCAGCCGGGACCCGAACCCACCUCACCUGAGCGAAUGAUAUCCGGGACUCAUCCUUUUUCGACACCUUUGCGGGAUCCAGCCCUCCAAGGAAAGCUUCCUGAGCAGUGCGCGCCACGUGUAUUGGGCACCUCACCGCGGCCACUUCACAUCCUAUCUCAGGUGGAGAAACUAAGCCACAGAAAGGAGCUGUCAUUUACCUAAAGCACCGUGGCAGGGGUUUGGCAGAGCCAGGAUUUGUACCCAGAUCGCCUGACUUCGGAGAGUAACAGCUCUUAACCACAGCACUUCGGUCUAUGCCUUGAUUUCACCAUAUGUAACAAGCUGUGCCACUUUGCAUUCCCACCAGCAGCACGCAAGCGUUCGAAUUUCUCCGCACGCUCCCCAACAGGUCUCGCUCAUCACCAGGCUGGAGUACAGUGACAUGAUCAUGGCUCACUGCAGCCUCAACCUCCCGGGUUCAGGCUAUCCUCCCACCUCAGCCUCCCAGGACCACAGGCGUGUGCCACCAUGCCCAGCUAAUUUUUUGUAGAGAUGGGGUUAUGCCAUGUUGCCCAGGCUGGUCUCGAGCUGCUGGGCACAAGCAAUCUACCCAUCUCAGUCUCCCAAAGUGCUGGCAUUAUAGUCGUGAGCCACUGUGCCCAGCCAACAGCGUCUUUCAAAGAGCAGAGAGAGGUUAAUUUUGAUGAUGUCCAGUUUGCACCUUUGUUGAAAAUUGACCAUAUAUCUGUGAGUCUGUUUCUAGACUCUUUGUUCUGCUUUAUUAAACUACUUGUCUAUUUGUACACCAAUGCCACACUGUCUUCAUUGCUGUGCCUUUGUAAUAAGUUUUAAAGUUAGGUCAUUUAAGUCCUUUAAUUUUGUUCCUCUUUUUCAAAGUUGUUUUGACUAUUCUAAGCUUUUGCAUUUCCAAUACAUUUUGUAAUCAGCUUGUAAAUUUCUACCAAAAAAGCCUGCUGAGACUUUGACUGAAAUUAUGUUGAGUUUGUAGAUUAAUUUGGGAAGAAUUGACAUAUUGACAGUAUCGAGUCUCUCAACCCAUGAACAUGGUAUACCUCUCCAUUUAUUUAGACCUUUAGAGCUUUUUCUCAGAAACAUUUUGUAGCUUUUUUUUUUUUUUUUUGAGACGGAGUCUUGCCCUGUCACCCAGGCUGGAGUGCAGUGGCACGAUUUUGGCUCACUAUAACCUCUGCCUCCCGGGUUCACGCGGUUCUCCUGCCUCAGCCUCCCAGGUUCACGCGGUUCUCCUGCCUCAGCCUCCUGAGUAGCUGGGAUUACAGGCAGGCGCCACCAUGCCCGGCUAAUUUUUGUAUUUUUAGUGGAGACGGGGUUUCACCAUCUUGGCCAGGAUGGUCUCGAUCUCUUGACCUCGUGAUCCGCCCGCCUCAGCCUCCCAAAGUGCUGGGAUUACAGGCAUGAGCCACCACGCCCAGCUUGUUUUGUAGCUUUAAUUGUAUAGGCCUAACAUACUUUUUUGUUCUGUUUAGUCUAUUUCAUAUUUUUAUGCUACCGUAAAUAGUAUUUUUUAAAAUUUCAAUGUCCAGGUGUUUUUUGCUAGUAAUAUAUUUUUUAUGUUGAUCUUGUAUCUUUCAACCUUAUUAUACUCAUUUAUUAGUUCCAGCAGCUUUUUUGCAAAUUCCAUCAGAUUUUUAACUUAGAUGAACAUUUUUUUUUUUGCAAAUAAAGGCAACUUUUCUUCUUUAUAUCAAAUCUGAAUUUUUUUUAUUUCCUUUUCUUGUCUGAUUAUAUGGGCUAGAAUCUCCAAUACAAUGUUGAAUAGAAGUGGUGAGAGUAGACAGACCUGUCUUGUUCAUGAUCUUAGGGGAAAAACAUUAAUGAACCCUAAUGUUCAUUAUAGGGUUUUGUUUGGUAGAUGCCUUUUAUUAGGUAAGAAGAUUCCCUUCUAUUCCUGGCUUGCUUAAUUUUUUUUUUAACAAUCAGGAACGAAUCUUGGAUUUUGCCAAAUGUUUUUUCUGCCUUUAAUGAAAUGAUCUGAUCAUUUUAAUUGUUUAGUCUGUUAAUACAGUGAAUUACACUGAUUGAUUUUCCAGUGUUAAAGCCACUUUGCAGUCCUAGGAGAAAUCCCACUGGUUGUGAUGUACAGUUGUCUUCCCUUAUCCAUGGGGGAUGUGUUCCAAGACCCCUAGUGAAUGCCUGAAACCUCAGAUAGUACCAAACCCUAUAUACACUAUGUUUUUUCCUGUACAGACAUACCUAUGAUAAAGCCUAAUUUAUAAAUUAGGCACAGUAAGAUAUUAACAAUAACUAAUAAUAAAAUAGAACAAUUAUAACAAUAUACUGUAAUAAAAGUUAUAUGAAUGUGGU